UAACCCACUGAACGAGGCCAGGGAUGGAACCCACAACCCCACGGUUCCUAGUCAGAUUCCUUUCCACUGUGCCAUGACAGGAACUCCUAUGUUAUUCUUGUUCAAAAUUCUAUUCUAGGUCCCUUGUAAUUCCACAUGAAUUGUAGAAUCUGUUUGGCAGUUUCUCCCAAGAAAUCAGCCAAGCUUUAUAUAGGGGUGGCAUUGAAUCUAUAGAUCAAUCUUGGGAGUAUUUACCAUUUUAACACUAUUAAGUCCUUUCAUCCAUGAACAUGGGAUGUUUCCCAUUCAUUUAGAUCUACUCUAAUGUCUUACAACUUUGUUUUGAAAUUUUCAGUGUACGUUUUGGCCUUUUUUGUUUAGGAUUUUUUUUUUUUUUUUUGGUGGGGGGACGGGGGGCGGGGGCAGGCCAGAGAUCAAACCCACACCACAGCAAUGCCAGAUCCUUAACCCAAGGUGGCACAAGAGAACUGCAAGGCUGUGCUUUAUUGAGCAGCCACAUGUGGCUGCAGAGAUGGCUGGCACACUGGUCAACCCCUUCCCAGGGGGACCUGUCUAUACCCACCAUCCAUGGCUUGGUCUUGGCUAUACUUCCCUACCCUCACUCUCAACUUAGCCCUGGCACUGGCCUCUGGCCCUUUUCAGUGCUGGUCAUCUUUGAAUCCCUGCUAGCCUGGAGGUCCAAAAGUUUCCUUGAUGGUGCCAUGCUGACAGACACAUCUCUUCCUGGCUCUGCAGUUGCUACCUUUGAAUGGAGAACGGUGAGCCAUGGAUAGUGACAACCUGAGUCCUAGGGACGCCACUGAGGAGCCUGGCCUGGCACAACUGCCACCCAUAUGGACCAGGUCCUGUUGGAUGAGGCUGUUGUCAACAAGGCUAUAGGACACUCAUCAUAGGAACAAUUUUUCGUGUGUUUCGGGCGGUCUCCCAGACCAAAUCUCAGUCAAAGCCUGGGGCACCUUUAAGGCUCUUGCUCCAUGUUGUUCAACAACCUCAGGAAAGGCUGCAUUAUUCAUGCCAUGGAAGGAUGAAGGCUCCCGCUUUGCCAACAGACAGAGACAAGGCUGUGGAGUGAUCGGAGAGUUGCUCACAUUAUCUUCCACCCCAUACCUGCUGGUGGUGAUUAAAGGAAGAUAAAAGUGGGACUGCCCAGUGCUUACACGCUGCAGAUACAGCUCCCAUCUGACAUUUGCGGUGUGGACAUCAUCCCAGCCCAGGGCAGGAGCCGGCCAGCUGGAGCAUGUGUUGGAUUCUCUGCCUGAGCCUCACCCUCUGCAUAGAGGUGCAGGCCACUCUGGGUAAGCCCCCUGCUUCCUAAUGGUAUUGGGCAAGAGGGACAUGAGGGAAACAGGGACAGGCCCCCAGCUCAACUUCUUCUGGGGGCAGUGGGGCAGGGACAUAUAGAGAUCUGGGCAGGUAGGGGGGUGGGCAGCUGGGAGUAUGAACAUUUAUAAAAAUAAUAUUAUAUAAUUAUAAUUAUAAAAUAUAUCUUAUAAUUUUAUGUUUAUAAUUUAUGAUGUAUAUCUUUAUAAAAUUAAUAUGUAAAAUUA